UACGUAGGGUGCAAGCGUUAAUCGGAAUUACUGGGCGUAAAGCGUGCGCAGGCGGUUCGGAAAGAAAGAUGUGAAAUCCCAGGGCUCAACCUUGGAAUGGCAUUUUUAACUACCGGACUAGAGUGUGUCAGAGGGGGGUGGAAUUCCGCGUGUAGCAGUGAAAUGCGUAGAGAUGCGGAGGAACACCGAUGGCGAAGGCA
rnacentral:rRNA from 1 species